rnacentral:rRNA from 2 species
GGACUACUCGGGUUUCUAAUCCCGUUUGCUCCCCUGGCCUUCGUGCCUCAGCGUCAGUAACUGUCCAGAGACUCGCCUUCGCCACUGGUCUUCCUUACGAUCUCUACGCAUUUCACUGCUACACCGUAAAUUCCAGUCUCCUCUCCAGUACUCGAGCAGGGCAGUAUCCAAUGCAGUUCCGGGGUUGAGCCCCGGGAUUUCACAUCAGACUUGCCCCGCCGCCUACGCACCCUUUACGCCCAAUGAAUCCGAACAACGCUCGAGACCUCUGUAUUACCGCGGCGGCUGGCAC